GGAAGCGCAUAGGGUUCCGGUGUCCCUCCUGGACUUCAAAUCCAGUGUUCCGGCUUAACCCCCGGUAGGUGGGUUCGACUCCCACGCGCUUCCGCCA
rnacentral:tRNA from 1 species